GUGAGUAGUUCAGAGUUUGAUCCUGGCUCAGGAUGAACGCUGGCGGCGUGCUUAACACAUGCAAGUCGAACGGAACUACUUUAAUGAGAUUCUUCGGAAAGGAUUUGACUUAGUUUAGUGGCGGACGGGUGAGUAACGCGUGGGUAACCUGCCUCAUACAGGGGGAUAACAGUUGGAAACGACCGUUAAUACCGCAUAAGCGCACAGCAUCGCAUGAUGCAGUGUGAAAAACUCCGGUGGUAUGAGAUGGACCCGCGUCUGAUUAGCUAGUUGGUGAGGUAACGGCCCACCAAGGCGACGAUCAGUAGCCGGCCUGAGAGGGUGAACGGCCACAUUGGGACUGAGACACGGCCCAA
rnacentral:rRNA from 1 species